rnacentral:rRNA from 1 species
CCCUUAGAUGUUCUGGGCCGCACGCGCGCUACACUGAUGCAUUCAACGAGUUUCUUCCUGGUCCGAGAGGAAUGGGUAACCUUUUGAAAGUGCAUCGUGAUAGGGAUAGACUAUUGCAAUUAUUGGUCUUCAACGAGGAAUUCCUAGUAGACGUAGUUCAUCAGACUGCAUCGAUUACGUCCCUGCCCUUUGUACACACCGCCCGUCGCUACUACCGAUUGAACGGUUUAGUGAGGGCCUCGGAUUGGUCUCGGCCCGCUCUUUACCGGGCGGCGCCGUUGGUCGAGAAGACGCUCGAACUUGAUCGUUUAGAGGAAGUAAAAGUCGUAACA